UACGGGGGGUGCAAGCGUUAUUCGGAUUUACUGGGCGUAAAGCGCGCGCAGGCGGUUUUGUAAGUCAGAUGUGAAAGCCCUGGGCUCAACCCGGGAAGUGCACCUGAUACUGCAAGACUUGAGUAUGGGAGAGGGAAGUGGAAUUCCUGGUGUAGAGGUGAAAUUCGUAGAUAUCAGGAGGAACAUCGGUGGCGAAGGCGACUUCCUGGACCAAUACUGACGCUGAGGCGCGAAGGCGUGGGGAGCAAACAGG
rnacentral:rRNA from 1 species